AUUCUCAGCUCUUCAACGAGAGGUAAAUUUUUGCAUUGAUCCAAAAGGAUCCUUAGGACCUAUUGUUAAAAAAAAGGAAAGAAAAAGGUAACUAUGUGAGGUGGUGGAUGUGUUAAUAUAGUGGAUUGUAGUCAUUUCACAAAUGUGUACAUUUAUCAAAUCAUCAUAUUGUAUAAAUAUAUACAAUUUUAUUUGUUAAUUAUACCAAUAAAGUUGGAGGUAGGGAGAGAAUUGUUAAACCAAAAAAGAGAAAAUUUUUAAAUUAAGAUAAAAUAAAUAUAAUAAAACAAUAAAAAUUAAAACAAUAACUUAUAAAUAAAACAAUAAAUAAAUCUUGUGUGGUAUUCAACUAUUUGAAACAAAAGGAAAGUAUGUGUGAAUAUAUUUUAUUUAUGUUUUUUGUUUUGUAUAUAUCCAUACAUCUAGAAUCUCUCUAGAUGGGACACACAAAACUGAUCCUAAGGUACUAAGGAGAAGGAAACUUUAUUUACCAUAUACCUUUUGCACUGUUUGAAAACUGAUUUUACCAUGUGCACAUAUUGCCUUUUAUAAAUAAAAUGCUUCAUGCUUUACAAAGCACUUUUAUUUGCAUUGUUUCCUGUGGUGCUCACCCCAUUUUAGAGAUGGCAACACCAGAGCAGAGAAGUGGCCUGAGCUACCCAAGGCCACUCACUUCCGGCUGCCCCCACAUAUCGCCCUUCAUCAUUUCCCAAAGCAUUCAGGAAAGUGUCCACCUGGUUCAUCAGAAGACAUUGAAGCCAAGAAACCACAAGGGGCCUUCUAAGAAACUACUACUCACCAGCCAUCUGCAGGCUUGAAGGAGAAUUAUCUAGAGGACUGGACUGUGGAUACUCACCAGAGAGAGCCAUCAUGAGACCACAUAUCAAGCAAGCCUACAUCCCCUGCUGCCCUUUGCCCCAUUCUUGAGUUAAAAGACAAAAUCCUAAGCCCUUAAGUGCACCUCCUCUCUGAGGUUGCCUGCAGUUGUCUUUCUUUGAGUGUGGUACUUUUUGCUUUAAAUAAAGCCUUCUUGUUUCUCAAUUUACUGCAUUUUGUCUCUGCGCUCUUCCAGUAGUAAGUGUCUUUGUUACUUUGCUACUUCAUUCAGUUUUCUAGACAUAAGUGCAAGUCUUUACUCUCUCUGUCCUACUUCAGGCAGGUAGGGAAGGGCUACUGAGACCUCUGAUUUGGGCUUGUGAGUUCCAGUCACCUGGUGACCUCAGUGGGAUUGCAGCUGUAUAAUUAUGCUUUUUAGUAGCCUGCCUGAAAAUCUCAUUUUCUUGUCUUUGGGAGUUCUCAGAACUUAAUCUCACUCCAUCCAGUGCCCUGUGGCUUCCCCAAAUCCUGGGGUGGUAGGGGUUUAGUUCCCAGGCUGUGAAGAUUUAAGCAGAUACUGGACUCCAGGUGACCCUGGCUUUAGGAGUUGGCAAGGGAUCUUCCCCAUGCUGAGCAGGAGUUAAGUGGGCUUCCCUUUCCUCCCUCUGCUCUUCCUUGCUCUCU